AUUACUAAACACUUGAUUUUUCUUCAUUUAGACAUUUCUUUUUGGUAGGCACACCUAUGUCAACAUAUUGUGCCCUCCUUAAAUUCAGUUACAAGUACUUAUGUGUGUGUGAUGUUGCCUUCUCUUAUGAUGUGCUCAUAGGCCAAAGUGAUUUCUCCUCUCUUUAUCUGUAAAACUAUAACCCAACAUUCUUGGCCGCCCACCCAUGUUUGACUUGGUCUAUAUGGCAGUGUGCAGAAAGCCUGAGCCCAAGAAAACUCCAUUGUGGCUCACUGAUUCUGCUGAUGAGUCGUAUAAAAAGAGUCAUGUGCUAUCUAUUUAUUAUUAUUAUUAUAAGUUCAUCGCUACCACUUUUACUUCUCUUUAUUGUUUUAUGUGCCUUUGUAUAAUAUGCUAUUAUAGGAUAUUUUCUUGUUCCAAUCAAAUCCAUAAUAUAGUUCAUCCUUACUAAAUAGUAGUGUCUACUUAACUAAUCUGUACUAAGAUCUGGUGGCUUUGGUAGUUUCAUCACUAUCUUGCACUUCUUAUAUAUAAGGCCUCUUUAGGAACUUCUAAAUUUUUAUUUUGUCAUUAGUGGUGUGGUGUGUCUGGUUAAAUUGGUAUUACUAAUAGCUUUCUUUCAGUUUUCUCUUCAAUUACAGCUUGUGGAAUUUGAGGAGAAUCUGUGCACCAGCAUCCGACUCCUUGAUGUUGCUCUGAUCAUAUUGUGUAAAUAUAUUUCUAAUAAAGCAAUCGCCCGAUGGUGUACAUGUUAGAAAUAACAAGAUGUAAUCAUCAAGUGUGAGAGAUGGCAACAUCAUGAUGGGAUGGUAUGUACUGUUGUGCUCAUCAAUAGGGGGAGCUCAAGGUCAUGGCGGGGCUUCGAUUUUUCUUGUAGAAAAGAGAGACAGAGGAGGAUCCAGGGAGGAGGAGAGGUAGGAGAAGAAGGACGGGGAAGUAGGAAGGGUGCAGUAGGGGUGAGUGUGCUUCCGCCUGCCACGCCCAAGGCUUGAUCUGCCGCCGCCUCUCCUCUACCCAUGCUGUCUGUGACACGUCAGAUCCCCAGCUGCCGGCACUUCUCCUCUGCCCAUGGGCCAUGGCUGUUCUGAUGCAUCAAAUCCACUGCAGAUCGAUCUGCUGUAACAUUGGCUGGGUGUUCUCUUCUCGACUCUACCAACACUCUGGAGUUACAAGCAAUUACAUCAGGAGCUCGGUCAAAAAUCACCUAAGAAAAAUAUGUCGUUCUUCUCUACAAGGGUUGCAUGUGGAAUUUGAGGAGAAUCUGUGCACCAGCAUCCGACUCCUUGAUGUUGC